rnacentral:rRNA from 1 species
UACGUAGGGUGCAAGCGUUGUCCGGAAUUAUUGGGCGUAAAGAGCUCGUAGGCGGUCUGUCGCGUCGGAUGUGAAAACCCAGGGCUCAACCCUGGGCCUGCAUUCGAUACGGGCAGACUAGAGUUCGGUAGGGGAGACUGGAAUUCCUAGUGUAGCGGUGAAAUGCGCAGAUAUCAGGAGGAACACCGGUGGCGAAGGCGGAUCUCUGGGCCGAUACUGACGCUGAGGAGCGAAAGCGUGGGGAGCGAACAGG